rnacentral:rRNA from 1 species
UAAUUCUCUUAUUAUUAAUUUAUUAAUUAAUUUUUAGUUAAUAAUUUUUAGUAUGAAAUAUUUAAGGGGAUGAGCUUUUGAUUAUAUAAUUAAAAAUUUAAUUUUAUUUUAUUUUUUGUAUAAUUUAUAUUGUUAAUCAUUUUAAUAAUUUAAUAGUUAAUUUUAUUUGUUAUAAAAUUUUUAUUUGUUUUAAUUUUUAUAUUAAAAAAAUUUGUUUAAUAUAAUUUCUUAAGUUAUGAUGAUAAAAUUAGUAGAUAAAUUUGUAUUUAUAUAAAAUAUUUUAAUUAAUAAAAAGGAACUCGGCAAAUUAAUUUUUCGCCUGUUUAUUAAAAACAUGUCUUUUUGAUUAUAAUUUAAGGUUUAAUCUGCUCAAUGAUUUUUAAAUUGCCGCAGUAUUUUGACUGUGCGAAGGUAGCAUAAUAAUUAGCUUUUUUAUUGAGAGCUGGAAUGAAUGAUUGGACGAGAAAAUUUCUGUCUCUUUAUUAUUUUUAUUUAAUUUUACUUUUAAGUUAAAAGGCUUAAAUUUUUUUAAAAGACGAGAAGACCCUAUAGAGUUUAAUUUGUUAUUAUUAUUUAUUUUAUUUGUAUUGGAAAAAUUUGUUUUAAUAAUAAAUUUAGUUGGGGUGACUAAAAGAUUAAUUAAACUCUUUUAAUCAAAAUCAAUUAUAUUUGAAUAUGAAAUCUAUAUUUUUAAAUUUAAUAUAAAUUACCUUAGGGAUAACAGCGUAAUUUUUCUUUAAAGUUCUUAUUAAAAGAAAAGUUUGCGACCUCGAUGUUGGAUUAAAAUAAAUAUUAGGUGUAGAAGCUUAAUUAUUGAGUCUGUUCGA